rnacentral:sRNA from 19 species
UACUCAGUAUAAUUUUUGAUCAUUAUACGUCUAAUAUAGUUAUUUAGUAACUAAAGAAAGGGUAG